rnacentral:rRNA from 1 species
AUACGGAGGGUCCAAGCGUUAUCCGGAUUCAUUGGGUUUAAAGGGUCCGCAGGCGGGAAAAUAAGUCAGUGGUGAAAGCCUACAGCUCAACUGUAGAACUGCCAUUGAAACUGUUUUUCUUGAGUAUAGAUGAAGUGGGCGGAAUAUAUCAUGUAGCGGUGAAAUGCAUAGAUAUGAUAUAGAACACCGAUUGCGAAGGCAGCUCACUAAACUAUUACUGACGCUCAGGGACGAAAGCGUGGGGAGCGAACAGGAUUAGAAACCCUGGUAGUCC